rnacentral:misc_RNA from 1 species
GAUGAAGAACGUAGCGAAAUGCGAUACUUGGUGUGAAUUGCAGAAUCCCGUGAACCAUCGAGUCUUUGAACGCAAGUUGCGCCCGAAGCCAUUAGGCCGAGGGCACGCCUGCCUGGGCGUCACACGUCGUUGCCCCCCCAUCUACUCCUUCGGGAUUGCGGGGGGCGGAUGAUGGCCUCCCGUGCGCCUCGUCGCGCGGUUGGCCUAAAUGCCAAGUCCUCGGCGACGCACGCCACGACAAUCGGUGGUUGCGAAACCUCGGUUGCCCGUCGUGUGCGGUCGUCGCGCAUCGAGGGCUCGAAAAAAUUGCCGGGCUUCGGCUCGACUUUCAACGCGACCCCAGGUCAGGCGGGGUUACCCGCUGAAUUUAAGCAGAUCAAUAAGCGGAGGA